CUGCCCCCUGCGCCGCGCUGGCUCCUCCAUGGCUGGGGCUCACCGUCGCUGCAAGCAGGACGCUCUGGAUCUGCAGUGCCUCCAGAAGGCAGCUCCUCCCUGCCAAGCUGCUGCAGCGUCCUAAGCCCAGCAAAGCCAACAUAUCAACCCCUCUUCAGGACAGUUACUGGAUCAGGUCUCACACCUGUGCAAAGUGGGGGAGCCUCAUGGAGUCAUUCACCAGUACUUUGUGUUGCAAGCAUCUCAACAGUUUGUUCAAGCACGAGUCCACUUCUGAUGUCUGAAAAAGAACUCUCAUCACACGCUGUUCCCCUGGCACUGCCUUAGGUCUUCACAUCAAUCAAGUUGAAGAUAGUAUAUCAUCAACUGCCACCACUUUAAAAACAAAAACAUAAAUAUUGUUUGGAAAGAGAAAAAAUCUCUAUCACAUUUUCUACAGUGCUGCAAACUGGAAGUGGAGCCUUCCAAAAAGUAUACCUAACCGGUAGGAAGGGUCCUUUAUUCCAUCACUACCCUCAGGCCAGGCCUACAUUGCAAACUUACAUCAGUAUAACUACAUCGCUCAGGGUUGUGAAAAAUCCACAUCACUGAGUGAUGCAAUUAUACCGAUUUAACUCCUGGUGUAGACAGUGCUAUAUCUGUGGGGUGGCUUUUACUGGUGACAUAGCUACCGCCUCUUGCAGAGAUAGAUUAACUAUGAUGACGGAAGAAACUCUCAUGUAAGGGUAGUAUCGUCUUCACUGAAGUGCUACAAUGGUACAGCAACACUUGUGUAGCUGCAGUGUUUUAAGUGUAGAUCUGCCCUAAGAGAUUGUAAGGAGUACAAUACCUGAAAUCAGAUAAUAGAAUUUAUUUUGCAGUUGCUAACAUAUAUAUGUUUUGGAAAAUUAGAUGGAAUGAAUGUGAAAUGUAAAGCAAUUCUGUGUGAGUUUAAUACACUGAAGAAGUUGUUCAAAGGUAGCCUGGCCAAGAAAAAGAGAAACACAUCUAAAACUGUGAAAGUCUAGAAGAUAUACUGCAUCCCGCAAAGUAGAGUAAAUACUUUGUAGAGUAACACAGGCAUCACUGAUGGCAAUAUUUGGCCAUUACCAUUUACCAACAGAUUGUAAGUAGGCUUUGAAGAUUUUUAUUAGUAAAUGUUGACUUUACCUACACACACAAACUGAUGAAAAAAUAUUUCCAUUGAUAAUAAAAAAAAUUUACAGUAAGGCAAAGUAAGAAAAAUACUACUAGAGAACUUAUU